UGGAAUUAGGGACAAGAACUGAGAUUUUGGUAACAUACCUAUGGCUCAUGUUUAUCUGCUAACUUAUCAAGGUUACUGAACUAAGAAUUUUGUUGUACUUAGGGUGUGUGUGUGUGUGUGUGUGUGUGUGUGUGUGUGGUGUGUGUACUGGGGACUGAAUUCAGGGGUUCUCUACCACUUUGCUACAUCCCCAGGUCUUUCCAU
rnacentral:sRNA from 1 species